AAGAUUGUGUUGAUGAUUAUUGCCUCAUAAUGUAUGUGACUUGCUGGCCUGGUAAUAUUAAAUCCGGUGAUUUCAAAUUGUAAGGCUGUCCAUAUUUGUUUUUAGGUGUGAUGGAGAGGAGGUUUUCAACGGUGUCAAGUACAUUGCACAUUAAGCAUUUCAUGGAAGGCCUGUCACAAGUAGAAGAAUACGUCAUACACACAAGUGGAUUUUCCUGAAAGCUGAAGUGGCAUGAACAGUUUCAAGUAAUGGGAAUGCGACAUAUGCUGAAGAAAGAUUUCCUCGAGACAGGAAAUAAAAGAAAAGGUAAUAUGUAUUGAAUAAACA
rnacentral:lncRNA from 1 species